AGUGACAUAAUUUAGUCUAGGGCUGCAGCUAAAGAUUGUUUUUCCCAUUAGUCAACGAUUAUUUCUGUCACAACCUCCAUCUCUGCUUCCUGUGGGCGCAGCACCUGCUCUGGGCUCCACCUUAUACCUCACCUGCUGAAGUCUGCACACUUGAACGCGGAUGCGGGGUUGAGGGUUUGUUGUCUGUAAUGUUACAUAUGGAUGUCGGAGGAGAGGACUAGAGCUACCCUCUCCCUGCCAGCACAGCCACUGUGAGCAGAUAGCGAAGUGCACCUGUGAUUUUUCAGAGACCUACAACACUUGUAGGAGCUUUUCUUGCUUUUCUUGUCUUUGACGUUGUUGUCAACCCGUCGUCUCUGCAGCUCUUCCACGGACACGAAAAACAGGAAGCAGGGAAAGAAACGUGAACGUAAACGAUCUUUUGAUUUUUGCCUUUUUUUUCUCCUUGCUUUUCACGUUGCAUCAGACUUGCUGACUUUGGUUGGGAGGGGGGAUUUGGGCCGAUAAUCGGACCAAUUAUGUUUUGGAUUCAAACUUCAACCAUUAAAGCACAGAGAGAAGAGACAGACGUGAAGACAUUUCCAGAAGGUCUUCAGCUGCUGUCGUCUUCUCCUCCUGCAGAGACAAGAACACCUGUUAAUCACAGAAACUGAUCAGUAAAUCAAAAUAUUUUUAUGACAUACUAUUCUGACAUUUUUUGAUGUUUUUCUUCCUUACUAAAGACAAUGUAAGGAAUGCCUUACUAUAUUAUGACAUUUUUUCUUGUGUUUUGACACCUUACUACACUGACCUCUUUUUUUUUUUUUUUUGAAUGCCCUACUAAACUGUGACAUGCAGCUUAAGACAAAGGAACUAUCUUAAAGUAGCCAUCCUACCUUUGUUUUCCACAGACACACAUACACCUCUACACAGUGUUUGUGGGUUAGAUUAGAUUUUCAUUUUGGUAAUGACAAUUGCAAUAUAAGUACUUAAAUCCAAUCUAUUACUGUGUAUGUAGUCCUGGUUAUACUGUUCAUAUUGUGUAUAAUUUUUAUAUAUUAUUGUAUGUUAUCUUGUUUUAUAUUUUGUAUAUAUAAGGCCGUUUUAUAUUUUUGUUGUUGCAACACUGAAUUUCCCCAUUGUGGGACUGCUAAAGGAUUAUCUUACUCAAAUAAAUACUUCUGAACACUGAAUAUUUUGCCAGUCUGUUUGAUAGUAUAUGAAA